CUUCUGCUAAGUAAAUCUCUAAAGAGACUUACUUUUCAAGUGAUAGAAACGAGUAAUAUUGCGGUAUCAUUGCUGGACAGUCCCUGCACGUAGCCAGGAUGAUAUUUAAUCGUUCGUACUGGGAUGAUUUCGAACGGGAGUGGUUCCUCGUAUUUAAAAAAUAUUCAAUUGAUGACAAGAAAAACAUGAGUUUAUUUUACCUAUUUA